GACUGAGCGGCGGACGGGUGAGUAACGCGUGGGUAACCUGCCUCAUACAGGGGGAUAACAGUUGGAAACGGCUGCUAAUACCGCAUAAGCGCACAGUAUCGCAUGGUACGGUGUGAAAAACUCAGGUGGUAUGAGAUGGACCCGCGUCUGAUUAGCUAGUUGGAGGGGUAACGGCCCACCAAGGCGACGAUCAGUAGCCGGCCUGAGAGGGUGAACGGCCACAUUGGGACUGAGACACGGCCCAGACUCCUACGGGAGGCAGCAGUGGGGAAUAUUGCACAAUGGGGGAAACCCUGAUGCAGCGACGCCGCGUGAAGGAAGAAGUAUCUCGGUAUGUAAACUUCUAUCAGCAGGGAAGAAAAUGACGGUACCUGACUAAGAAGCCCCGGCUAACUACGUGCCAGCAGCCGCGGUAAUACGUAGGGGGCAAGCGUUAUCCGGAUUUACUGGGUGUAAAGGGAGCGUAGACGGAAGAGCAAGUCUGAUGUGAAAGGCUGGGGCUUAACCCCAGGACUGCAUUGGAAACUGUUUUUCUUGAGUGCCGGAGAGGUAAGCGGAAUUCCUAGUGUAGCGGUGAAAUGCGUAGAUAUUAGGAGGAACACCAGUGGCGAAGGCGG
rnacentral:rRNA from 1 species